CAAGGCUUGACAUAUAGAGGAAAAGUGCAGAAAUGCACUCCCCGCAAGGUCUCUAUACAGGUGGUGCAUGGUUGUCGUCAGCUCGUGUCGUGAGAUGUUGGGUUAAGUCCCGCAACGAGCGCAACCCUCGUCCUAUGUUGCCAGCACGUUAUGGUGGGAACUCAUGGGAUACUGCCGGGGUCAACUCGGAGGAAGGUGGGGAUGACGUCAAAUCAUCAUGCCCCUUAUGUCUUGGGCUUCACGCAUGCUACAAUGGCCGGUACAGAGGGCUGCAAUACCGCAAGGUGGAGCGAAUCCCAAAAAGCCGGUCUCAGUUCGGAUUGAGGUCUGCAACUCGACCUCAUGAAGUCGGAGUCGCUAGUAAUCGUAGAUCAGCAACGCUACGGUGAAUACGUUCCCGGGUCUGUACACACCGAAUCUAGAUGCAUCGGAGCGAC
rnacentral:rRNA from 1 species